rnacentral:rRNA from 1 species
AGAACGAACGCUGGCGGCGCGACUUAAGCAUGCAAGUCGAGCGGUAAGUGGAAGCUUGCUCUAACCUAGAGCGGCGGACUGGUGAGUAACGCGUGGGUGACGUACCUCGUGACGGGGACAGCUCCUAGAAAUAGGAGAUAAUACCGGAUACGCUGUAUGUUGUCAGAGGACAUACAGGAAAGGAUCUUUUGAUUCGCACGAAGAGCGGCCCGCGUACUAUUAGCUAGUUGGUGAGGUAACGGCCCACCAAGGCGACGAUAGUUACCCGGCCUAAGAGGGUGAUCGGGCACAUUGGGACUGAGAUACGGCCCAGACUCCUACGGGAGGCAGCAGCUAAGAAUAUUCCGCAAUGGACGAAAGUCUGACGGAGCGACGCCGCGUGGAUGAUGAAGGCCCGGAAGGUUGUAAAAUCCUUUUUAUGACUGAGGAAUAAGCAGAGUGAGAGAAACGCUUUGUGGUGACUGUAGGUCAUGAAUAAGCAACGGCUAAUUACGUGCCAGCCGCCGC